rnacentral:siRNA from 1 species
UCAUAAUAUUGGGAUGCACACC